rnacentral:rRNA from 1 species
CGAGUGAAGCGGCAACAGCUCAAAUUUGAAAUCUGGCCCCCCGGCCCGAGUUGUAAUUUGGAGAGGAUGCUUUUGGCGCGGCGCCGUCCGAGUUCCUUGGAACAGGACGCCACAGAGGGUGAGAGCCCCGUACGGACGGACGCCUAGCCUCUACAAAGCUCCUUCGACGAGUCGAGUAGUUUGGGAAUGCUGCUCAAAAUGGGAGGUAAAUUUCUUCUAAAGCUAAAUACCGGCCAGAGACCGAUAGCGCACAAGUAGAGUGAUCGAAAGAUGAAAAGCACUUUGAAAAGAGGGUUAAAAAGUACGUGAAAUUGUUGAAAGGGAAGCGCCUGUGACCAGACUUGCGCCCCGCGGACCACCCGGCGUUCUCGCCGGUGCACUCCGCGGGGCGCAGGCCAGCAUCGGUUCUCCUAGGGGGACAAAGGCCGCGGGAACGUAGCUCCUUCGGGAGUGUUAUAGCCCGCGGCGGCAUGCCCCUGGGGGGACCGAGGACCGCGCUUCGGCAAGGAUGCUGGCGUAAUGGUCACCAGCGACCCGUCUUGAAACACGGACCAAGGAGUCAAGCAUUGGGGCGAGUGUAUGGGUGCCAAACCCGCACGCGAAAUGAAAGUGAACGCAGGUGAGAGCUUCGGCGCAUCAUCGACCGAUCCUGAUGUCUUCGGAUGGAUUUGAGUAAGAGCCUUACCGCUUGGACCCGAAAGAUGGUGAACUAUGCCUGAAUAGGGUGAAGCCAGAGGAAACUCUGGUGGAGGCUCGCAGCGGUUCUGACGUGCAAA